CUAAAAAAAAUCGAGUCCACAUUAAGCUCAACCACGUAUUAGUCCACUCAUAGAACUAUCCACUAUAUAACAUACAACUUAAAUGUGGACUCGAUCCUAACUUGAUUUCGAGUACAAAAUUUGUAGACAAGAGUAUAUAUUUCAACCCUCCCCAUUUUAUCGAUAUCGAUAAGAAACGCAAGCGUGUAGCGUACUACACUAUUUAAAUUGCUUAUGUUUGUACUAUGGUUCUUUGACAGUUCUUUGUCGUACAUUUUGGUAAUGAUUUGCGAAACAAAGGGAUUCCACUCGCUAGUAUGGAAGUCCCGUCUCUUAAAACGUAGUGAUUAUAUGCUCUUUGGUCAGAGGCACAUAUCGGUAUAUCCAUAAAGCCUUGCACUUGGGUCUGGCCGGUUAGAACAUAGACAAAAGUCUGCAAUGUCAAUGCUGUCAAAGUAAUCGACUAUUUUCAUUUUCAAAACUAUCAGUUUUCAUAUAAAAUGAUUAAAUAACGAUUUAUGUUCUUGAAAUAGAUUUAUUGAUUAAUUUUUAAAAUUAAAAAUCCACCGCACAGUAUCUCCGCUCAGACUCGGUUAAAGUUUAAUCCAUUGUACUAAACUAAGAAACAACAAUUAUUUCAAGAGGGUGAACGUGAGAAAAUAAUCCAUCAUUUCCUUGAAAAGGCUCAAAAUCAAAAGGCACGGAUCCGCCACAUAAUUCCGACUAGUUGUAGUUUCUCGGUGACCAUCAACAAGACCGCUGCAUUGAGCUGUGGAGCAGAAAGUGUCCGACAGUCGGCUAGAUAUACUAAUUUAAAAACCUCACCCCAACAAAAACAAAAAAUGAAAAAAUACAAAAAGAAAUUCCGUCGCCGGGAUUCGAACCCAGAACCACUAGCUAGAACUGGAUCACUACCUACCAAAACCCGCCAGGCUAAACCGGUUGUCAAUUUUAGUACUGAGAUACAAAGAGAGCGCCACUAGUAUAAACGAACUUUUGAAAGGGGCAUUUUUUUGUAUGGAGUUAGCGUUCUUCUCCUAGUGAGUAUUAUAUUCUUUG